rnacentral:tRNA from 1 species
GGCGAGGUGGCAGAGUGGUUUAUCGCGGCGGUCUUGAAAACCGUUGUGCUGAAAGGCACCGUAGGUUCAAAUCCUACCCUCGCCG